rnacentral:rRNA from 1 species
GAUGAACGCUGGCGGCGUGCCUAAUACAUGCAAGUCGAGCGAACGGACGAGAAGCUUGCUUCUCUGAUGUUAGCGGCGGACGGGUGAGUAACACGUGGAUAACCUACCUAUAAGACUGGGAUAACUUCGGGAAACCGUAGCUAAUACCGGAUAAUAUUUUGAACCGCAUGGUUCAAAAGUGAAAGACGGUCUUGCUGUCACUUAUAGAUGGAUCCGCGCUGCAUUAGCUAGUUGGUAAGGUAACGGCUUACCAAGGCAACGAUGCAUAGCCGACCUGAGAGGGUGAUCGGCCACACUGGAACUGAGACACGGUCAAGACUACUACGGGAGGCAGCAGUAGGGAAUCUUACGCAAUGGGCGAAAGCCUGACGGAGCAACGCCGCGUGAGUGAUGAAGGUCUUCGGAUCGUAAAACUCUGUUAUUAGGGAAGAACAUAUGUGUAAGUAACUGUGCACAUCUUGACGGUACCUAAUCAGAAAGCCACGGCUAACUACGUG